rnacentral:rRNA from 1 species
CACGUAGGGGGCGAGCGUUGUCCGGAUUUAUUGGGCGUAAAGAGCUCGUAGGCGGUUUGGCAAGUCGGGUGUGAAAUUUCGAGGCUCAACCUCGAAACGCCACUCGAUACUGCCAUGACUGGAGUCCGGUAGAGGAGUGCGGAAUUCCUGGUGUAGCGGUGAAAUGCGCAGAUAUCAGGAGGAACACCGGUGGCGAAGGCGGCACUCUGGGCCGGUACUGACGCUGAGGAGCGAAAGCGUGGGGAGCAAACAGG